UAGCCUAUAGCCUUGAGCAACAGAAUUUGAUAUUGAUGAGAAGGCGGAGCCAACUGCGAGUUCGUCGGACCCUUUGGUAGCUAGAACAAGAACCCAACUCAAAUUAGAAGAAAGAAGACGAAGAUAGUAGAGAUAUUGUCGUCCUUGAGUUGUAUUGAUUGGUUGGUCUAAAUGGAUCCAAUGGCCGAGGAGCAAAUAGAUUAUGAAGAGGAGGAGUAUGGAGGUGCUCAGAAGCUCCAAUAUCAGGAAAGUGGAGCCAUACCUGCUCUUGCAGAUGAAGAACCGAUGGUAGAAGAUGACGAGUAUGACGAUCUCUACAAUGAUGUUAAUGUUGGGGAAGGUUUCCUGCAGAUGCACCGACCUGAGGCACCACACCCACCUGCUGGUGUUGGCAAUGGAGGACUCCAAGCUCAGAAAAAUAAUGUUCCUGAAGUAAGAGUUCAAGCUGGUGUUUCUCAGGAACUGAAAAAUCCGGGAUUUUCAGUUGAAGGAAAGUAUUCUAGUGUUCCUGAACAGAAGGAUCAGCCCCCAGUGUCUAAGGUGCCAGAACUGGGAUCUCAAAAGGGGAGGGUUAUGGAGAUGACACAUGAUGCUCAAGUCAGGAAUAUGGGUUUUCAGGGGACAGCAACUAUGCCGUCCAAUGUUGGUGUUGAUUCUUCUUCAGAUCUUACUGGGAAAAUUGCCAAUGGGCCUAUUCCAUCAAUGAAUUCUUGCAGUACUGGUCCUCCAGCUGUUCCACAGAUGCCGGCUAAUCAAAUGAAUAUGAAGAUAAAUGUAAAUCGUCCAAUGGUUAAUGAAAACCAAAUUCGUCCCCCAAUUGAGAAUGGUUCAGCCACGCUGUUUGUGGGAGAACUCCAUUGGUGGACUACUGAUGCUGAGCUGGAAAGUGUUUUGUCUCAGUUUGGGAGGAUCAAGGAAAUUAAGUUCUUUGAUGAGAGAGCCAGUGGUAAAUCCAAAGGUUAUUGUCAGGUAGAUUUUUAUGAUCCAGUGGCUGCCAGUGCAUGCAAAGAGGGAAUGGAUGGUUAUGUUUUUAAUGGGAGAGCUUGUGUUGUCGCCUUUGCUUCUUCACAAACUUUAAAGCAGAUGGGAGAUUCUUAUGUCAGCAAAUCCCAAGGCCAGGUUCAGACUCAGCCCCAAGGAAGAAGGCCUAUGAAUGAUGGUGCUGGGAGAGGGGGAAAUAUGAAUUAUCAAGGUGGAGACACAGGGAGAAAUUUUGGAAGGGGUAAUAAUUGGGGACGAGGUGGACAGGGAGUACUCAACAGAGGUCCUGGUGGUGGAGGACCAGGGAGGGGACGAGGAGGGGCCAUGGGUGCAAGGAACAUGGUUGGAAACAAUGCUGGGGUUGGAACUGGUGCUAAUGGAGGAGGCUAUGGACAGGGCCUUGGAGGUCCUGGAUUUGGCGGUCCUGUUGGAGGUAUGAUGAAUGCACCGGGUAUGAUGGGUCCUGGGUUUGAUCCAACAUAUAUGGGUCGAGGAGGUGGUUACGGAGGGUUUCCUGGUCCUGGUUUUCCUGGAAUGCUUCCUCAAUUUCCUGGUGUUAAUGCAAUGGGACUUGCUGGGGUUGCUCCUCAUGUAAACCCAGCUUUCUUUGGCAGGGGAAUGGCAACGAAUGGGAUGGGGAUGAUGGGUUCUUCUGGAAUGGAGGGGCAUCAUGCCCCGAUGUGGAAUGAUCCCAGCAUGGCUGGGUGGACUGGAGAAGAACAGGAUCGAAGAACUAGGGAAUCGAGCUAUGGUGGUGAUGAUGGUGCAUCUGAGUAUGGAAACUAUGGGGAGGCAACUCAUGAGAAAUCAGUUAGGUCAAGUGCUGCCCCUAGGGAAAGGGAACGGGAAUCUGAGCGUGACUGGACGGGAACCUCUGAGAGGAGGCAUCGUGAUGAAAGGGAACAAGACUGGGAUAGGUCUGAGAGGGAGCACAGGGAGCCCAGGUACAAGGAAGAAAAAGAUAGUUACCGAGACCAUAGGCGGAGGGAGCGUGACGUGGCCUAUGAGGAUGACCGGGACAGAGGACACUCUUCUUCAAGACCUCGCAGCAGGUCCAAGGCAAUGCCAGAAGAUGAUCAUCGUUCUCGAUCAAGGGAUGUGGAUUAUGGGAAGAGGAGACGAUUGCCAUCUGAGUGACACAAGUAGACUAUUUGUCCUCCUUUGGUAUGUCUUUGAGACUGCAGAAUAUAUGUUUGGACCUUCAAACAGUGUGUCUAGCCUGGGAUAGCUACUGUUUAUCUGCAUCUUCAUAUGUGUUUCGAUGGGCCCACCUGCAAAAGUUGCUUCAUCUCGGAGAAGGAGUAGAGAGGGGAACUCUUUCUUUUUAUGGUUGAAUCAGCGUGUGCUGGUCACAUGGUGGAAGAUGUCUUACAUGGAUGCGUUGCCAAGUGUGCAACAGAAGCCUUUUGACUACUUUGGCUUUCAACUUGUUUUAUUGAAGCCUAGAAUCUGUAUUAGUUCUGUGUAACAAAUUAUCUAGCGAGUGUUCUCGAAUUAGUGAUAUAUUAGGUUGAGACCUAUCCGUGCGCAUGUAACCAACUGAAUGUCUCUGUGUAAAGAUAGACUUUUGUAUUAGGUUCACAUGUAAUGCCCUCUUUGUUGUUUUUAUGACUGUAUUAGGCUUACCAAGCGAGCUUGUAAAAGUCUUGUACUGAAUUUCUGUCCUUAGUUGUCCAUAUCAGUGUGUUGUAAAUGUCAAUGACUGGUGUGGACAGAGGACUAGGGAGUCAAGAUUGAGCGAUUAAUACAUCGUAUCGUACCAAGAAGCCACCCUGGCCCCAAGUUUCUGUUGAAGCUAAUUCCUGGAAGACUGGUUUUUAUUGUGUAAUGUAAAUUGUGAAUUGUACUUGGGAUUGGGGGGGGGGGGGGGGGGGGGGGGGUGAGUUGUGAGUCAUUGGUUCGUUGUAAAUGAGUUGGGAAUGAAAGGGUUGGUUAGGGUUUAAUUCUUUCUUCUUGGAGACCUAUGUUAUGCUCCUUUUGUACAUUUUUCACUGGGACAUAGCUUUGUACUUUCUUCACGGAUCAAUCCAUGAUAUCUGUUCCUUCUUUUUUAUUGGGACAGAUAAUAUUGUUUCUCUAAAAUGAAUAGUUUAAGUUU